UAAACAUAUAUUUGACAACCUAACUCUACCAAGACACAUUUAAUCUAAUUAAUCUACCGCGUCUCGUUUUGCGGAGGAACUCGCGAUCUGGAUGGAGAUAGGGCUGGGCGUUCGCUCCCUCUGCUCCGCAAGCACGGGUUGUCGACAUCUUCAUUGAAGAACGGAUCGAGGACAGAUACAGGACUGGGUUGCUCUUGCUUCUCAUGGCUUCCCUCAAGAGAAAAUUGUGAUAUCAGCUCAACCGAUGCACUUGAUCGGGGAGUUGCUGGCUCUUGGCAUUCUGACUUUUCAACAACAUUCUCAAGGGAGCUUGGAAACAUCCCAACAUGCUUUUUUCCUGGUUCUGCUCCUUCCACAUUAUUCUUCAAUGUAAAAUACACGAAUUCAUCAAAAUAAGAAAAGCUUUGGAAACAAGAUGGAGCUACUGAGUAUUGGCUGGAACAUACUAGCGAUGGGUUAUAUCUGCAUUGCUCUUCUGGGAUGCACCAUGAAUUGCUAAUUUUUUCCGAGCAAUCCAGCUUGUCAAUUUCUUCAGUGCGCACAGUGUCAAGUUCAGCACCUGCAAAUAUUCUAUUCUAUAUGAGAAAAUAACCCUGUGCUAUUCAAUCA